CGGGACGGGUGAGUAAUGUCUGGGAAACUGCCUGAUGGAGGGGGAUAACUACUGGAAACGGUAGCUAAUACCGCAUAACGUCGCAAGACCAAAGAGGGGGACCUUCGGGCCUCUUGCCAUCGGAUGUGCCCAGAUGGGAUUAGCUAGUAGGUGGGGUAACGGCUCACGUAGGCGACGAUCCCUAGCUGGUCUGAGAGGAUGACCAGCCACACUGGAACUGAGACACGGUCCAG
rnacentral:rRNA from 1 species